UCCCCUUGUUUGUCUCACGGUUUCCCUAGUGGGGAUCUUAGUUUAUUCCACUGUCCCCUUUAUGUGUAAUUGUUUACUAAUUAGGGAUUGUGAUGAUAAAUUAUUUCCCCCAAUGAAGUUCUUGAACUUAAAUGCAGAAGAACACAUUGCCCAUUGGUUUACCAAGUCUGCUUAUGAAGAGACUUAUAACAGCAUCAUAUAUCC
rnacentral:lncRNA from 1 species